GACGUAGGGGACGAGCGUUGUCCGGAUUCAUUGGGCGUAAAGAGCGCGCAGGCGGCUUGGCAAGUCGGGUGUGAAAUCCCGGGGCUCAACCCCGGGACUGCAUUCGAUACUGUCAGGCUAGAGGUAGGUAGGGGAGAUCGGAAUUCCUGGUGUAGCGGUGAAAUGCGCAGAUAUCAGGAGGAACACCGGUGGCGAAGGCGGAUCUCUGGGCCUUACCUGACGCUCAGGCGCGAAAGCUAGGGGAGCGAACAGG
rnacentral:rRNA from 1 species